CGGGGUGUGGCGCAGUUGGCUAGCGCAUCUGCUUUGGGAGCAGAGGGUCGUAGGUUCGAGUCCUAUUACCCCGA
rnacentral:tRNA from 2 species